rnacentral:rRNA from 1 species
CCUACGGGUGGCAGCAGUGAGGAAUAUUGGUCAAUGGACGAGAGUCUGAACCAGCCAAGUCGCGUGAAGGAUGACUGCCCUAUGGGUUGUAAACUUCUUUUGUAUGGGAAUAAAAUGUUCCACGUGUGGGAUUUUGUAUGUACCUUAUGAAUAAGGAUCGGCUAACUCCGUGCCAGCAGCCGCGGUAAUACGGAGGAUCCGAGCGUUAUCCGGAUUUAUUGGGUUGAAAGGGUGCGUAGGUGGGUUGUUAAGUCAGUUGUGAAAGUUGGCGGCGCAACCGUAACAUUGCAGUUGAAACUGUCAGGCUUGAGUACAGGAGAGGUAGGCGGAAUUCGUGGUGUAGCGGUGAAAUGCUUAGAUAUCACGAAGAACUCCGAUUGCGAAGGCAGCUUACUGGACUGCAACUGACGCUGAGGCUCGAAAGUGUGGGUAUCAAACAGGAUUAGAUACCCGAGUAGUC